rfam:Triticum urartu cultivar G1812 contig874194, whole genome shotgun sequence.
GGUCCUGUAGCUCAGUUGGUUAGAGUGUUGGUUUGAUAUACCAAAGGUCAUGGGUUCAAGCCCCAUCAGGACCA